rnacentral:lncRNA from 1 species
GAAAAAAACAGCCAUCAAGAGUAGAAAGACACACUGUACAAACUCAGGAGGGGCUGAGAGUGAAGAGUCUUCCAGAGCUGUGUUCUGGUGCUGUUGCUUAAGCAUCUUUCUUUUUAGUCAAUAUUGCACAGAACGCUUGGUUAGGAGGAGCACUGAUCUGACACAGUGCAGCUGUCUCUGUGCUCUAUGUUUAAAAGCAAUCUGGGGAGAACGGAGGGAAUGAUAAAGCUCGCAGACAUCAAAGCUAAAGCUGGCUGAGAAGCAGUGCAGAAGAUCUUGCAAUUCUGCGUGACUGAGUGAGAAAAUGGCAGAUGAAAUUUGGAAUCGAUAAAUGCAAAAUAAUGCACACGGAGAAAAACAACUAAUUAUACAUACACAGUGAUGCGCUCUAAAUUACCUAUUAUCACUCAGGAAGGAUCCUGGACUCAUUGUGAAUGGUUCUGUGAAAAUGUCAGCCUGAUACUCAAUGGAGGUCAAAAAGGCAACCGUCUUACUGAUCUGAGGCACCAAAAGGACCGGCUUCUGGGCAAUGAGAGUUGUGUAUCUGUUACGUGUUGGAAUGGUGUGACUGUAAGAUUAAGUCCCUGUCUGCUACUGGCUGGUCUUCAACAUCUUCAGAGAUGAUUCCAGGGGAUCGCUGGCUAUCUGCAUGUUUCCUUGUCAUCUCAAACAAGGGAUAAUGCUCUCCUGGGAACAGUUUCACCUCGAAGAGACAGGCAGCUCCUCAAAACAAUAUGGUUAAUCUUCAAGAAUUUGUCUGCCAGCUGUCUUCCAGGAAGCAGAAUCAAGGAAUGGCCUGGUUAUCAAGGGUGGCUGGCUGGAGACCUCCUCUGCCUUCUCCUCUACCAUUGUCACUCUUGCUAUGAUUUACUUAAGGUAUGUUCUGAACCAGUGGAACAAAUGUUCUGUGCUCUCAAAGGCAAAAACUGCCUUGGAAACCAAAGUCAAACCCAAAGAAGGGAAGUGAUGGCCACUCAUUUUGUUACAAACCUCCACCUCAUUUCUGGAGUCCUGUCUGAGAUUUUCAAAUAUAUGGACUUUACAGGACAAAACAGAGGGGAAUGGCAGAGAGGAACAGCUGAGAACAAGGGAGCCACACGCAGGAACAUUGUUCUGUACCACACUUCCGACUCAGCCCGAACAUUGCCUUCCUGUGGACACUGCAGAGCUUCAGUGGGCCUGAAGCUUUGCUGGAUGAAAGUUACACAACAGGAAACAAACAAGAAAUGGAGCCAAAUGCAACAAACAAACCCCCAGCUGAAGGGAACAAGAAGAAAGAAAGACAGAGAGUGACUUCAGCUCUGUAAAUCUUUC